GGACUACACGGGUAUCUAAUCCUGUUCGCUCCCCACGCUCUCGCUCCUCAGCGUCAGUAAUGGCCCAGAGACCCGCCUUCGCCACCGGUGUUCCUCCUGAUAUCUGCGCAUUCCACCGCUACACCAGGAAUUCCAGUCUCCCCUGCCACACUCCAGCCGGCCCGUACCGGAAGCAGACCCGGGGUUGAGACCCGGGCUUUCACUUCCGACGCGACCAGCCGCCUACGAGCCCUUUACGCCCAAUAAAUCCGGACAACGCUCGCACCCUACGUAUUACCGCGGCGGCUGGCAC
rnacentral:rRNA from 1 species